UUUCGAACAGACAUUACAUUGAACGCGUGUUUUAUUCUACACUUAUUUGAAUAGGAGUUUCUUAUUUUUAUUGCAAAAGAAUUUGUUUGCGACUUCUUUCCUCAUUCCAGAGUAAUGUCGGAGAGAUUGUUGUUAAUAUUGGCUAUUUUAAUAACCAACGGAUUUACUCAGUAAACCAAUUUUAAUCAAUUCGUUGACUCUUUAGAAAAAAAUAUUUCAGCUUCAGAGAAAUAUAUUAAACCUACAGAUAACAGCAAACUAGUUCACGUAACUGACUUCAAUACAUAUGAAUUCGGAAUAUUCGAUUUUAUCAUAAUAGGGGCGGGACCAGCCAGAUCUGUUCCGGCGAACAGACUGACGGAAGUGGAACAAUGGACGGUUUUGCUACUAGAGGCUGGUGGGAGCAAUAACACGUUUAGUGACGUUUUAGGUUUUCAGAGUUAUCUUUAUAACUUAGAUAUGGACUGGGGCUAUAAUAGUACUACACAAAAAACGUGUUGUUUAAGUAAAAAUUUAAUCGUUCGAAUUUAGUAAUAAAGCCGGCAUUAAUCAGCAAUGCAGAUAUAAUAGAGGAAAGGUACGUGGAGGUUCGUCUACGAUCAAUGCAGCGAUGUAUGUUCGAGGGCAUCCCGAAGACCACGAUAGAUGGGAAGAGUUAGGAAAUGCGGGAUGAUCUUGCAAAGAUGUUUUUCCUUAUUUCAAAAAGUCCGAGAAAGCCGUUUUCGAGCCCAGAAUACGGGAUUCCCAUGGUGAUAAUGGGAAUCUUUUUGUCGAUAUCCCGCCUUCAAGUCCAGGAUUUGUCAGUAGUCAUUAAAAUAUAAAUUAUACAAUUUCUUGUGAAUCUACUAUUAAUCACUAGGCCAAAAUUGUUGUUUUGGUUUUAUCUAGUCAAUAAAAAAAUCUAAAGCUUUUCAAGCGCAGAGAUAAGACAAUAUACAAAAAUUCCUACAAUUUUUUUUAAAUCCCAUCCUUUAGCCAACUCAAAAACUUUGAUUUCCUGCCUUUUUUGCAUCCUAUAUGUGAUAAGCUAAAGGAAUAUUAAAAUGAAGGUAUUUUUGCCUAACUAAAUAUUUUUUAUAGAAAAAAGCAUUUAUUAUAUGACCACAGCAAUUGGCCAAACAAUUUAAGACUUUCUAAUUAUUUCUAACAUAUUUCUUAAAAUUAGCAUUUUUUUCUUAAACUCCUAAUACUAUUUAGCUAAUACUGCCCUAAAUCAGAUAAAUUUCUAUUUAUUUUUGGUUUUGUAUUAUAAUAUAAAAUAAAUUUUAGGACUCCCUAAUUUUUGGAGCCUUUGAAGAGCUAGGUCUACACAAAAUAAAUGACUACAAUGGUGAACAUGUGAACGGUGUCAGUAAAACGCAAUUCACACUCAACGAAAAUAAAAGGUGUAGCGCCUCUAGAGCGUUUCUAGAUUCAAUCCAGGUUUUAGGUAAAAUUUUAUUUAGGCUUCGACAUUGUCGGAACAGAUUGGAUUAGUAUUUUGUAGAACCAACAUUACUUUUUACAAUCUUACUCUUAGAGAACAACUAAAACUGUACCCGAAAAAUGAGAGACCCUUAAUUACCGGUCCUCAGGAGACCGUUGCUUUCAUUAAUUUUCAAAAUUCUAAGCGUAGACCAGACGUGGAAAUGUCAUUUGGUCUUCCAGCCUCAACGAAACAGGAAUUUACAUCCAUCUGGCAGCAAGUAUAAAGCUAAUACCUACAUAUAUACCCUGCAAACUUUCAAGAAAAUGUCAGUAUUAUGUUAAAAUGUUCAUAAGAUUGGUACAAAAUCUCAGAAUGCACUUUUUUCAGUUCUUGAUCUAAUCAAAACCCACAUUUUACGGUGACUAUUUAUGGCUUUGCGUAUUACCACUAUAAUAACCUCAUCUUGAUUCGUCUUUUCUGUGUUUUUCGAGCUCAAGCGAAUACAUAUUGAAAAAAUCCUACUAAAUUUUAAGAAAUUCCGGAAUUUUUUAAUAUUGUUUAGGUUAAUUCCACAUCUGAAAAUUCAAACUUCAAACGGCAAUUUUCGAUAACAUAACGUAUUUUCUUUGUGGGACAUGCCAUGUAACUAGUAAUAUUUCGAUUUAUAGCAUACUAAACGAUUUUAAAAAUUACAACAUAAGCUAUGUUACCUCUUGAAAAAAAUGCGAUUUCACAAUUGUAAGUAGUAAAGAUCCCUUUCAAAAUUUUGGAAUUUUUAAAAAUACAAAAUAUGUGACGAUUUUCUCCUAAUUCAGAAUCGCCCGGUAGCUGGAAAACAAGGUGAUGUAUCACGAGAAGUUUGUCAUAUUCAAACUCAAAAAUGAACCCCGGAAAAUCUCUACUCGUCUACCGAUAUAUGCUGGGAAAUAUUCCAAACCAUCAAAUCCUAACGAAAUUGGCCCGCUUUAUUCAUUAGAUUAUGGGUGUGUCCCUAAUAAUAGAAUGCAUUGCCGUUGUCUCAUAGCAAAUUUUUAUUUUCAUUUUGCUAAAAUCCCUCAUUCUGAUCGAGCCUAAAAAUUUAAAAAAAAAAUAAAAAGAUUUACGAAAAAUAAUAAACGGAAAUUUAAUGACAAAAAUUAAGAGUCUGGAUCUUGAAACUUAUUCUGCAUUAAGUUUGGCAGUACGUGCUAUACUGGGUAAAUGUGAAUUUUUGCAAUAAGCGAUCAACUUUUUUUGUUUCAUUUCAGACUAGAGAAAAUUUACAAUGAACUACUCGAUAUCCGACGACCUGCAACUGACUUCACUAGCGUCAUAUCUCAAUUUCAUCCGAAAUCCAGGGGUUCUGUAACAUUAAAAUCAAACGAUCCUAGAGAUAUGCCCUCAAUAAAUCCAAUUUUUUUCUCAGAUGAAGAAGGGUACGAUAUAGAGACGAUGUAUGGUGCAAUACAAAUAUUAGAAAGACUAAGUGAAACCGAAACAUUUCAAAAGAAUGGCGUGACUCUAAUAUAUCAAAAAGUGCCACCAUGUGACAAUCUACAUAAAAAGAAGUCAAGAGAAUGGUGGCAUUGCGUGUUGAGACAAUUCAACUGGGUUGGACAUCAAAUCGCAACAACAACCUACAUGGGAAACGAUACGAGAACAUCGGUGGUAAAUUCUCGACUGCAGGUCCAUGGGAUUCGAAAAUUGAGGGUAGUUGAUGCCGGAGUUAUACCCGAAGAAAUCUCCGGUCACACUUACGCGCCAACGGUGAUGGUGGCAGAAAGGGCUGCACAUUUUAUUAAGGAAGAUUUUCAAAAUUAAAUAAAUAGCUACAUUUCUAAACUAAUAAAUUGAUAUACAAUUUAAUUUUAAGUCUCUAUUAAUAAUUUAUCAAAUAAGUUUGAAUUCGGCUUUUGGUUCGAUCGAAGGAGCAUUUAUCACUGAAAAAAAAGAAACAAAGAACGGAACCUUGAAAUUGCCAAGGAUAAUAAAUAACAAGUUCGUCAAAACCAAUAUAUUAUUAAUUAACUUUUGUUUAUAAUUUAAAGAAAAAGCGGCCACGACAACCAUACCAUCUGUUUUUUAACUUCCAACGAAAAAAUUUAACACUUUUGCCUUUACAAAUCUAAUUUCACUCGCGGAAGGGUGGGCCAAUUUUGAAUAAAAAAGUCACCCCGAAUUUACAAAUGAUUCAU